UUCCCCCCCAUCAAAUAGUCAAAUAUUUUGUAAUUCCCUCCACAAUUUUCAUUAGGUUUAGUUUCUUCCCCAAAUCCCUAACUUUCUCUCCAUAGUCCAUACCAUCACUUUUCUUGCGUCGUCCCCUCUGCGCAUUGCGCACGCACCGUGGCUGCCCACCAACGCCGACCGCCACCUACCAAGAUUACCCUUCCCAACGAUGAACCACCAUCACCGGCUCUCUCCACCAUGGUAUAUCUCUCUCCAUCACCACUGAAUUUUCCCCCAAAGCCCUAUCUCUUUCGCUGAUUACUUGCCUUAUCUCACUGUGAAGCCAGAGGAAAUAAUAGCUAUUAUCAGUGACUUCAAUGAGCCUGGCUCGCUUGCUCCAACUGGCUUACCGCUUACACCUUGGUGGGACCAAAUAUAUGGUGAUUCAAGGCGAGGCAGGAGCUGUUAUUCGAGGCAAAAAGGAUCAUGAGGAGCGGUUUGAAACCAUCUCCCAAG